rnacentral:tRNA from 1 species
GCCUUCGUGGUGUAGUGGUCAGCACGCUUGGCGCGUAUUCGAGAGGUCCGUGGUUCGAUUCCCGGUGAAGGCA